rnacentral:lncRNA from 1 species
UUCAUAUCCCCAUAACGUUCUUAUACUAUUUUCUUUAUCCACUGUGAAAUGAGUGUCUUGAAGACAAUAAAUGUUAUGGUUUCCAGAUUUUAGAAAACUAAAUACAUCCCUCCUUUUAGAUAAAUCACCCAGACCCUGACAGUUAACAGACAGUAUCUUUAAAGAGCCCAUAAUGGUUUGAAAUAUGUGUACAUCAUCAUUUCAUAUAGGCAUGCAUUUUUACAUAUGAUCAUCCAUAUUAUACAUUCACAUGAGACACAAAGACAUAUACGCAAAGAUUUGCUCAAAACAUCUAGAUAUGGUGGUAUAAAAAUUCUCAACAUACAUGUAUUACCAAGCCUCGUACAUAGACCAACAGUGUAAUUCAAUACUUUACAGACAUUCAAUUCAUAGAAAAAAAUAAAAUUAACAGACAAAAAAAGUGUUAAAAAAAAUAAAUAUUUCAAUAUGUUUUGCCACAUUGUAGUUGGGAUUUGUCAGUUUAUGCAGUUUGCCUUAUAUGACAC